CAAGAAGCUCUGGGAUCAAUUAAAAUGCCAGGCUUUUCCAGGCUGGUUUCCAGCGCAUCUGUGCAUGAUUCCACAUAAAUUUAGGGAAUUAGAGAUCAGACAAAGUUAUAAGACAGCUGUUGAUGUCCCACUCACUAGUUAGGAGGAUUUAGAAGAAACUGCUUUCCAGGAAAUCCCAGUCAACUUCCAAAUAGAUCUCUUUAGUCAAAAAUGUGUCACAGCUCCAACUCUUUUUUUGUAAGAUGGUGAACACAGGCAGGGGCCACAUCUGACUUACCUCCAGCUCCAGGUACUAAAGAGCCACUGGGGAGAGCUCAGUCAUGUAAUCCAAUACUAUCUAAACAUGAACUACGGAGUCCCCAUCCAAGGCACUGAAUGAGAACAUCUGGAACACUGUAGGCACUCAAUAAAUAUUUCAUCAACAAAUAAAUGAGGGCUUUAAUUUA